AUGCAGCAGAGUUAUAAAUCAGCUGUAAAAAGUAAAAGCACAUCAUGUUUGAGAGGAAGAGUGAACAGCUGUGGGGGAACUGCAGGUAGGGCUCCUUUUGGAGAGGGAGAACGUGAUCAGCACGUCAGCAUUUGUUCAUGUUUUAUUUGGAUCCAUCUGGUACCCUCUUUGCUAUGUGUUACGAGCAUUGUGAAUAACUGUCUCUCUCCUCUCCUCCCCCUGAUCUUCUCUGCAGUGGUUUCUAGUGACAGUGAGAGCGACUCAGAGUUCAGUUCCUCCAGCCUGGAUGAUAAGCCCUCACCUGCAGGGUCAAAAGGCUCACAAGGCAGAAAGCACCAAGCAGGACUAGCACCCAUCAGGGAGCCCAGCCAGGCCAGGGGCAGAGUGCUGGGGAGCACCCACUCCCCAAGCCUCUCGGGAAGCCGCAGCAGCCUGGGCAGCGAGCAAGGGGCUGACCCCAGUGCCACGGAGAGCUGCCACAGCGACCAGCCGGCCGACGGGCGCGACGGUGAUGCCAGCAGCAGAGUCCCUGGCAAACGGCGCAUCCACACCAGAACACGACGCUGAUGGAGGUGAAGAUGGAGCUGCUUUGCCUGGAUCCAACGCUUGCCCCUUGCCCACUCCUGUAGACCUCGCUCCAGACAACAACUACUGCCAGUGGUGACCUCAUGAUGCUCUUGUACAGGCAUUAGCAACACAAUGGCACCUGGGGAAGCACCUGCCUGUCCUCCCUGCCUCACUAACCUGGUUUAUGGUUUGGUCUGGUUUCCCCUUCUGCUGACUGACUUGCACUUUGAGGUGCUGCUUGGAAAAGGGAGCUGUGCUGUGCUGCCGUGGGGUCCAGACCGGUGUGUGUUGGAAGGGAUGCACAAAGUGCUCAUGGAAGCUGAAGAAACGUGUGCUGCCUCUGCUGUUCCUGGCUUGUCAAGCCCAGCCCUGGGUUCAGCUCCUGGCCUUGCAGUCUGGCUUUGCAAUCUUCAGAAGAAAGGGAAAUUCACCCCUAUAUCACUGAAACGAGGUGUGAGGAGACUGCAGCCCUUCUACUGCUUCUCAGCCCAGGGGUGAAUUUCCCUCUAUGAGCCCCAAGGGAGAGACCAGGGCUUUGACUUGCACUUGGCUCCUUGGGACCAGGGUGUUACCCCUUGUGUUUCUUGUCAUUGUUGUUUUGGUCUGGUAUGAGUUUGGUGGGGGCAUCCUGAAUCAGCUGGUGAAGUCGUGCUCCUGUUCACUUCCAUUGAGGUCUCUGUGAUAGGGCUGUCUGCUCAGGGAGACACUUCGGGUAGUAAAGAAACACUCGAAGUUUGCUGUGAAUUUUUUGGUCCUCCUGGCUGUGCACUGGCUUGUGUGUCCUGUGGUGGUGUUUUGGCAGUGGGAUCAUAGGCAUUGCAUGUGUGCUGCAUCUCCUGGUGUGAGAAUGCCCACCACCCCAUGGCCCACUGGCUGCCUUUGUGUGUCCAAAUAGGAUAAAAGCUUUCAAAUUACUUUAUCUUGUUAAGCUCUGCAGAUUCUCCUUCCAUAUGCACACCUUGUCAUCUCUUGCAUUAGCAGAAGCCUUUGUUUUACCUUUUAAUGCAAGUCUUGAGCAUCUGGCUGACUGUGAUGGUGUCAUCAUGAGUCAGGCUGUAGAAAGCUGUGUACCCUGGUCCUGCUUAUUCUCCAGGAUGGACAAUAUCCCUCUAAGGCCUGACAGAUGAGAAAAAUUAAAUUACCUGACAUCUUUAGAGCAAUUAGGUCUUUGAAGUCCUGAACAAAACCCACAUUAAGCAAGUAGGAGUCUGUGGCUUUUAUUAAAUACUUUCGAUCUGACCUGUCUUUAGCAGAAGAAGCAAAGGAUUCCAAAAAGUUCCUUCUGAAAUCAUGGAUUUAAAGGCAAUUUGUGCCUGUUAAUGUCAGCCUUUUCCCCUGGUUAUUACUUCUGUUUUGUUCUCCUUUGCUGUUGGGUGCUUUGUGGUGUAUGCUCUUACAAAUGGCUGCAGUAUGAAGAUAAAUGAGAUUGGGUGUUGGAACACUCUAACAGGAGAUCGGAAAUAAGUCCUUGACUUUCCUUCUAAAUGACCAUGGUCCAACAGAGGAGCAUUCCCUUACUGCUUUUCCAGUUACCAUGCUGUGGCAGGUUGCUGGGAAAUUCCUUCCAGCUCUUCCUCUGUGAUCUGUUUCUGCCCUUUGAAAAAUGAAAACAAAACUUUGGAUGAUGUGGGCUUUUUGAGAUGGCAUAAAGAGAAACCACAUAACGUAGGCUUCACAACGUUGGUGUUGAAGAGAGCAAGGGAUGAGGUUGUACUCCACUGAGGGAUGCUUUAUGUUGUGGUCUGUGUUGUUUAAACCUGGCCAUUGAGACUCAACCAGUGGCAUCUCUGAAAGGGGUGAUGCCAAAAUUAUUAUUAUUUCUGAAAAAGUGAAUCCAAAAGUCAGCUUUUGCUGCAAUGUUGGUAUGAUUUCAGAGCUGAAGUUAUACUGUUUCUUCUGCGAGCUGUAGGGUCUUCAAUUUCAGAAGUGUUUUGCCAGCAAAAUAAGUCCUGUUUUGCCUUGGAGCUUUUGACAGUCCUACUGAGGCUGUCUUGCUUACACUGUCAUUACUGCAGUGCCUCAAGACAGUCUGGCCUGACAGCCUAAGUUAGUUCUAUAGAAGAAGGAGAAGGAAAAAGACACUUAAAAAUUGACUCAAUUUUCUUUAAACCUGUUACUUUCUCAUAAAAAAACUACACUGAGUUGGAAAGAGUUUUUAAACCAGAGCAUGUCAUUUCUAACUCUUCUUGUGCUUCAUUCCUGGGCAGUGCAGGCAGGUCUGCUGUGUUUUCACUCCUACUCUCACUUCCCACAGCGUUUACCACACUGUGGGUUGCCGGCUCUGCACAGGAACCUGGUAAUCCUUGCUGGCUUACUGUGCUGCUUUGAGGCAUGGGUUUGAGUUUUAACUGAGACUAGGUUUUAUAUAAACAGUGUCAGAGAUAAAUCUGGGACUGCUUUUGUACCAGUGAGACUGGAAACUUCUUACCUCUAUAUUUUACCUCCAUGAAGUAGUCCCACUUGAGUUCAAACCAGAACUGUUCAGUCGUCUAUGGAAAAACUUCUUGUGGAUUGAGGGAAGGAGAUAGCCCAGGAGAAUGUGAUCUAGCCACAUCUGAAUGUGAUGGAGGAACAGCCGUAGCUCAUAUUUUCUAUUAAAGACCGCUUUUCCCUUCGUCGCGUCUGUCUUAGUUGUGUUUUGUAGCUUUCAUUGGAAUAUUAUCCUAAACCUGUACCAUUUGUCAGCCUUUUGAGUUGGCUCAAGGUGGACAAGAAGGGCUCAGCGAAUAGUGCUUAGUCUGCUCUUGUCAUUUGUGUUUCUUUUAUUACUUUGUUGUUCUUGUCUCCAUCCCUUACAACUUUUAUGUAGUGUAUUAGUACUGGAAACAAUAAAGCUUUGGCUCAGUAACAA
rnacentral:lncRNA from 1 species